GACGAACGCUGGCGGCGUGCUUAACACAUGCAAGUCGAACGGAAAGGCCCUGCUCUUGUGGGGUGCUCGAGUGGCGAACGGGUGAGUAACACGUGAGUAACCUGCCCCUGACUUUGGGAUAACUUCAGGAAACUGGGGCUAAUACCGGAUAGGAGCUCCUGCUGCAUGGUGGGGGUUGGAAAGUUUCGGCGGUUGGGGCUGGAUUCGCGGCUUAUCAGCUUGUUGGGGGGGUAGUGGCUUACCAAGGCUUUGACGGGUAGCCGGCCUGAGAGGGUGACCGGCGUCAAUGGGACUGAGGUACGGCCCAGACUCCUACGGGAGGCAGUAGUGGGGAAUAUUGCGCAAUGGGCGGAAGCCUGAUGCAGCGACGCCGCGUGCGUGAUGACGGCCUUCGGGUUGUAAACCGCUUUCGCCGGUGACGAAGCGUGAGUGACGGUAAUGGGUAAAGAAGCACCGGCUAACUACGUG
rnacentral:rRNA from 1 species